rnacentral:rRNA from 1 species
AUACAGAGGGUGCGAGCGUUAAUCGGAAUUACUGGGCGUAAAGCGCGCGUAGGUGGUUAUGUAAGUUGGAUGUGAAAGCCCCGGGCUUAACCUGGGAAUUGCAUUCAAAACUGCAUGGCUAGAGUCUGAUAGAGGGAAGUGGAAUUUCCGGUGUAGCGGUGAAACGCGUAGAUAUCGGAAGGAACACCAGUGGCGAAGGCGGCUUCCUGGAUCAAGACUGACGCUGAGGUGCGAAAGCGUGGGGAGCAAACAGGAUUAGAAACCCCAGUAGUCC